rnacentral:rRNA from 1 species
AGUGAACGCUGGCGGUAGGCCUAACACAUGCAAGUCGAACGGCAGCACAGUAAGAGCUUGCUCUUACGGGUGGCGAGUGGCGGACGGGUGAGGAAUACAUCGGAAUCUACUUUUUCGUGGGGGAUAACGUAGGGAAACUUACGCUAAUACCGCAUACGACAUACGGGUGAAAGCAGGGGAUCUUCGGACCUUGCGCGAUUGAAUGAGCCGAUGUCGGAUUAGCUAGUUGGCGGGGUAAAGGCCCACCAAGGCGACGAUCCGUAGCUGGUCUGAGAGGAUGAUCAGCCACACUGGAACUGAGACACGGUCCAGACUCCUACGGGAGGCAGCAGUGGGGAAUAUUGGACAAUGGGCGCAAGCCUGAUCCAGCCAUACCGCGUGGGUGAAGAAGGCCUUCGGGUUGUAAAGCCCUUUUGUUGGGAAAGAAAAGCAGCAGGUUAAUACCCCGCUGUGCUGACGGUACCCAAAGAAUAAGCACCGGCUAACUUCGUG